GAUGAACGCUGGCGGCGUGCCUAAUACAUACAAGUCGAGCGAACGGACGAGAAGCUUGCUUCUCUGAUGUUAGCGGCGGACGGGUGAGUAACACGUGGAUAACCUACCUAUAAGACUGGGAUAACUUCGGGAACCCGGAGCUAAUACCGGAUAAUAUUUUGAACCGCAUGGUUCAAAAGUGAAAGACGGUCUUGCUGUCACUUAUAGAUGGAUCCGCGCUGCAUUAGCUAGUUGGUAAGGUAACGGCUUACCAAGGCAACGAUGCAUAGCCGACCUGAGAGGGUGAUCGGCCACACUGGAACUGAGACACGGUCCAGACUCCUACGGGAGGCAGCAGUAGGGAAUCUUCCGCAAUGGGCGAAAGCCUGACGGAGCAACGCCGCGUGAGUGAUGAAGGUCUUCGGAUCGUAAAACUCUGUUAUUAGGGAAGAACAUAUGUGUAAGUAACUGUGCACAUCUUGACGGUACCUAAUCAGAAAGCCACGGCUAACUACUUG
rnacentral:rRNA from 1 species